rnacentral:piRNA from 1 species
UCAGUGUGCUACAUAAGAUUAAAAGUCGCGU